AUUGAACGCUGGCGGCAUGCCUUACACAUGCAAGUCGAACGGUAACAGGUCUUCGGAUGCCGACGAGUGGCGAACGGGUGAGUAAUACAUCGGAACGUGCCUAGUAGUGGGGGAUAACUACUCGAAAGAGUGGCUAAUACCGCAUGAGAUCUACGGAUGAAAGCAGGGGAUCGCAAGACCUUGUGCUACUAGAGCGGCCGAUGGCAGAUUAGGUAGUUGGUGGAAUAAAAGCUUACCUAGCCGACGAUCUGUAGCUGGUCUGAGAGGACGAUCAGCCACACUGGGACUGAGACACGGCCCAGACUCCUACGGGAGGCAGCAGUGGGGAAUUUUGGACAAUGGGCGCAAGCCUGAUCCAGCAAUGCCGCGUGCAGGAUGAAGGCCUUCGGGUUGUAAACUGCUUUUGUACGGAACGAAAAGCCCUGGGUUAAUACCCUAGGGUCAUGACGGUACCGUAAGAAUAAGCACCGGCUAACUACGCGCCAGCCGCCGCCGUAACAC
rnacentral:rRNA from 1 species